UACGAAGGGGGCUAGCGUUGCUCGGAAUUACUGGGCGUAAAGCGCACGUAGGCGGCUUUUUAAGUCGGGGGUGAAAUCCUGGAGCUCAACUCCAGAACUGCCUUCGAUACUGGAAAGCUCGAGUCCGGGAGAGGUGAGUGGAACUGCGAGUGUAGAGGUGAAAUUCGUAGAUAUUCGCAAGAACACCAGUGGCGAAGGCGGCUCACUGGUCCGGUACUGACGCUGAGGUGCGAAAGCGUGGGGAGCAAACAGG
rnacentral:rRNA from 1 species